CUCUGUCACCACUGUUCCUUUAUCCCGCCUCAUCCUCAACUCCCCCCUCCCCCCCAGUGAUCUCCCUCCAGUCCCACUGCCCCACAUCCUUGCACCUAGCACCUUGGCGGGUCCAGGGCUGCCCACCCCUCCUAUGGCAGGGGCCCAGCCCCCCAGCCCCAGUUAUCACUCUCCGGACAGAGAUAAAAGUUUAUCUCGAGGCUGGGGGAUAUGAAAGCUCCUUAUCAGCUGCUCCACUAGAGUAAGUGCUGCCCUGACGGGCAGCAGGCAGCAGGCCGGCACUCUCAGCUCUCCCAAGGUCCAGCCCCUCACCCCAGAGAGGAACAACAGUGACGGCAACCGGUGUUUCAUGCUGACACAGACCCCAGGCCAAGCCUGUCCUGAGCACUUGCUCCGUGUAAAAUCAAUGGACACGCGCCCACACGAGGCAUCCAACUCGGGUCCCCACAGAGCAGGGAUGAGUCCACCAGGCCAGAGGCAGAACCUAACUCCCCUUGGUCUCAAUCGCGCAGGGAGGAAACAUCAACCAAAGCCUGGCUGAGGAGUCCCACGUUUGUCUCAGAACCGAGCUGUUGUUGUUGUUGUUGUUGUUGUUGUUUUCCUGAGAGAAAAGUAUAAAAGAUACUGUAACAAGCAUUCACCUUGGUCAAACAUUUUGCCGUAUGUAUUUGCUUCAGAUACUUUUGAAAGAAAUAUAUUCAGAUCCAGCCGAAGUUCUUGUACAAAGUCCGUUUUCCUCUCUCCUUCCACGACCUCAAGUUUGGUGUUUGUCUCCCUCGUGUUUUCAUUCCAUUACUACGUAUGUAUGUAUCCAUACACAGCUUACGAUACCAGUGGUUUUCAGCUUGGUUUUGAACUUCAUAUACAUGGAAUCGUAUAGUUUAUGUUUCUUUUGUUCUGCAUAAUGUCUGUGACACCCACGUUGUUGUGUGUAUUAAUAGUUCUUUUUUAUUGAGAUGUCAUUCGCAUACCACAAAAUUCACCCUUUGAAGUGUACGUUUCAGUGGUCAGUAUAUUCAUAAGGUCUUACCACUAUUACCACUGUCUAAUUCCAGGACAUUUUCAUCACCCCAAAAAGAAGCUUGUACCCAUUAGCAGACACUCCCUAUACUAUUAUCCGCCUCCCCACAGUCCCUGGAAGCCACCAAUCUACUGUCUGUCUCAUGGAUUUGCCUAUUCUGGACUUUUCAUAUGAACAGAAUCAGAAUAUGUGGCCUUUUGUGACUGGCUUCUUUCACUCUGCACAAAAUUUCCAAGGUUCGCUCACAUUGUAGCAUGGAUUAAACUACUUCAUUCCUUUCA